AAUACUGAGCCUUCAUUCAAACUAAAAGGCUGGAAGGGAGGCAGCUGCCUUUGUUUGCCAUGGAUGGGUAGGGGCUGCACUGAGCAGCACCGGUGUUCUUCAUCCGGCUGCACCCCCAACAGAGCUCUUUCUUCCCCAGAUCCCUUUUACAGUUGGAUUCUCCCUCUUGGAUCUGGCUCUGCCUUAGUCCGACCUAGAGGGAUCAGCUUCGCCCACGCCCACUCUCACCCGGAACCUUUCAUCUCUUAUUGAAGCCUUUUAGGCCCAUUGGGAUGUUCAUUAGAACUCUGAAAACUACAGUUCUCCCCUUUAUGAGGACUGCACCACAGCUCGCCCUCUCCUGGGUUCCGGUAAGAAGAGAUUCCAAUACCACUCUUUUUUCAGAAUUCAGAAAGGCAAGAGACCACCUUACUGAGCUUCAAACUGGGGCUGGGAACGCUGCCAUGAAUUGGGCUUGGUCUGUCUGAAGGGAGCCACCUUUUCGACAAUCCUUAGACUUCUUUUGCCUGUUGGAAUUACACCUUGGAUCGUGGCGAAGUCUAUAGAGGUCAGAUUAAGAAGAACCAAAGCAGAAUAAACGUAGAACCCGAUGCUGAGUUCACGACCUGGUUGCAGAGUGAGCCCAUGGGACAGCCCUCUGAAAUUAUACUGCUUACAACCAUGCUGAGUCUGCAAGGACUUCGUCCAAGCCUUUCCGUCCAGGACCUCAAACAGAUCCAAUCACAAGAAGAGAGAUUUCAGGAAAGAGAAAAUUAUUCCUAUCAUCGGGGUUUUUGAAGAACAUGAAAUGACUGGGAAAAUAAUCAUGUUAAGUGGAAAAAAAAAAGAAAUCUAUCUGUUGUAAUUUUCAAAUAAUUUUUAAAUAAAUUUGAAAAAUUAAGAGAACUAUAUAUAUAAUACAUUCCUAAUCUUGUGAAAAAUAUAUAUGCAUUAAUAUUAUUGAAAGAAAUAUAUCAAAAGGUGAACAGCAAUUAUCACCAAUCUAGAUUAUGAGAUUAGGAGUGAUUUUUUUUCUUUGUCCUAUACUAUUUAAUAUUUUCUACCAUUAAAAUAUUCUGAUUUUCUAAUUAGAAUAGUACGUUAGACAAAGAAGGACAAAUAUCACAUGAACUCUCACUCUCUUAUGGAACAGAUCUUGUGGAAUCUAAAAAAGUUGAACUCAUAGAAAAAGAGGAAAAUGAUGGUUACCAGUUAGAAAAAAGGAAUAAGUUCAAGAGAUCUAUUGUACACCAUGGUCAAUAUAGUUAACAAUAUAUUUUAUACUUUAAAAUUGCUAAGGUAGUAGAU
rnacentral:lncRNA from 1 species